AGUGAACGCUGGCGGUAGGCCUAACACAUGCAAGUCGAACGGCAGCACAGUAAGAGCUUGCUCUUACGGGUGGCGAGUGGCGGACGGGUGAGGAAUACAUCGGAAUCUACUUUUUCGUGGGGGCUAACGUAGGGAAACUUACGCUACUACCGCAUACGACCUACGGGUGAAAGCAGGGGAUCUUCGGACCUUGCGCGAUUGAAUGAGCCGAUGUCGGAUUAGCUAGUUGGCGGGGUAAAGGCCCACCAAGGCGACGAUCCGUAGCUGGUCUGCGAGGAUGAUCAGCCACACUGGAACUGAGACACGGUCCAGACGCCUACGGGAGGCAGCAGUGGGGAAUAUUGGACAAUGGGCGCAAGCCUGAUCCAGCCAUACCGCGUGGGUGAAGAAGGCCUUCGGGUCGUAAAGCCCUUUUGUUGGGAAAGAAAAGCAGCAGGUUAAUACCCCGCUGUUCUGACGGUACCCAAAGAAUAAGCACCGGCUAACUUCGUG
rnacentral:rRNA from 1 species